rnacentral:rRNA from 1 species
GGAUCAAUAUGUUGGUCGUGCCUCGGUACGUACUAGCAUAUUGGUUUCUCCUUUCUGAAGAACCAUGAUGUCAUUCAUUUGGUGUCGUGGGGAAUCAGGACUGGUUUUAACUUUGAAAAAUUAGAGUGUUUAAAGCAGGCUCACGCUUGAAUACAUUAGCAUGGAAUAAUGAAAUAGGACGUUUGAUUCUAUUUUGUUGGUUUCUAGGAUCGACGUAAUGAU